UAUAACUUAGUUUAAAGGAACCUUAAAUUUUGAUUUUAAAAGAGAUAGUGUAAGUCUAUUAGUUGUAA
rnacentral:tRNA from 1 species